AAUAAUUACGGCGUCAAUUCGAAAAUGGAGGAUUCUCAAGUUUAACGCUGUACUGGGGGGUCUCAGACUGUGCAGAUCUAGCCUCGGUCUCUUGGAAGAAAAACUGUUGGCGAAGACAGACGUGCUAUUUUUGUCCAGUCCAAGUAUAAAGAAAAAAAAAGAGGAAUAAAAACCGGGAAAAGAUCUUAACAGCUGAAUACAGCAAAAGGAAAGAAAUAUUGUGCGUUUAUAAAGUAAAAGUGUGUUAAGUGCCAAUCUCAAUUGAUUGGCGGUUAGUACCGGCUUAAACUUCGGGCAAUCGUUUGGGUACCUGUCUGAACCCCAAUACGAAAGCUCGCAACAACAAUUUCCCCGAUAUUAGGGCCUCCGCCCGCGGCAAGGGACUUAUGCUCCUCGCCCAACUACAGCUCCGUACCAAAAAUUCCCAGCGCUAGGCCGAGCAGCACAAAGCGGGAGGCGUAAAAGAUCGGCUCAUCAGUCGCUUUGCGGGCGCGAGCCACUUAUGUGUCACGGACCCGCGAUAUAUUGGAGGCCGUCCAAUUCUGCGGAAAUUAUUAAAGCUAUGUAAACGGUCAGCCAAUUUCUACCCGAAAUAUAGAUCUGGGUCUCGACCUAUUUUCGUUUCCCCAUACGAAGUGCCGAGGAGUGCCCAGAUGUGAAGCCGGCGGCAACGACUGUCGUUUUUUUUUUAUAUCCAUCAGUGUAACCGCUGAUUCCUAUUUUUAUGCUAUAGUGUCAUUAGUGUAAUUAGCUUAGUAAAUUUCUUUUGGUUGUGUUUUUAAAUUCUGUUCGGAAGAAAUAGCAAGUGGAAUGUGUGACAGGGCGAAAGUGAACAACGGUUAAACGGCAGAGGAGAGCGUGAGUUUUCUUUGUAAAAGUAUUUCUCUAGCUUUCGUUUUAGGAACGUUGCCGCAGUCCAUGGAAGCGCUUUCAUCGCUGUUUCAACGCAUUUAUUAAAACAAAUCAAAGGAAGGCCGUAAGUGAUCCCAAAACAUAAAGAUAAAACAUUGGAGUUUGUUUGUUAUGAGCAACUAUUUAUUGCAUGACCAAAAAAAAAAAAAAACCUCACGUAGUCAGGGGCUUCGUCGCUUAAGAGAGGCUGUGCGCUCUCCCUUAUGCCCUGCUGGCAACCAUAAGCGCUUACGCCGCGCAUAAGAACCAGCCCUCUUAAGAACAAGGCACAAAAGGGAAGAUGCGAGGCUGGUCGCUCUGACGUUCUUUUAUGCUUUCUACUUGCGGUUGCUUUCGCUAAUGCACUUGAAUAACUGACCUGCCAUAACGAUCGCGGCGCACAGUUUUUACAUUCCCCUUUGCAUAUUUAUUUAUUAUUAUUAUCUAUUUGCCUAACAUAAAAGCUGGAGAUAUGUACCCUUCCCUUCUUUCAAUUUGUAAGUAAAAUUUCAAUCUAAAGUGUAUUAUUAAGAGUUAAUCAUUUAUUAGUUUACUAGUGCGAUGCAUGUGCUAUUGCUCAAUAUGAAAUAUAGGAUUUAACAUGAA